GAAGAGAUAACAAAAGAAAAAGAAUAUUUUCUCCGGGUCCUUGAAGCUUGUUUUUGUGUUGAGGCACUCCUUCAACUUCAGCCAGCACCAUAGAAGCACAGUGGAAAUGUUGGCUGUUGUCUUCAAGAUCACUGACCCACUGGAAGAAGGAUGGAACAAGGGUACAUUUAAAGGCCACAAAACUUCCUUUCUGUGUUUCAGUGGACUUCUUCUGGUAAAGAACACUUCCUUAUAAUAAAACUAGUGCGUGCUAAUCUCCAUGUCAGAGUCUACUCAGGAACCUCAGUCUGCAAGAAUAACAAAUCUCCAAAUGUCUCAGGCAGAUGGAACUCAAGAAUUCAAACAUUGCUAU